GCGGCGAGUGAGCGGCAAAAGCUCAGAUUUGGAAUCGCUUCGGCGAGUUGUGAAUUGCAGGUUGGCGCCUCUGCGGCGGCGGCGGUCCAAGUCCCUUGGAACAGGGCGCCAUUGAGGGUGAGAGCCCCGUGGGACCGUUUGCCUACGCUCUGAGGCCCUUCUGACGAGUCGAGUUGUUUGGGAAUGCAGCUCUAAGCGGGUGGUAAAUUCCAUCUAAGGCUAAAUACUGGCGAGAGACCGAUAGCGAACAAGUACUGUGAAGGAAAGAUGAAAAGCACUUUGAAAAGAGAGUGAAACAGCACGUGAAAUUGUUGAAAGGGAAGGGUAUUGCGCCCGACAUGGAGCGUGCGCACCGCUGCCCCUCGUGGGCGGCGCUCUGGGCGUGCUCUGGGCCAGCAUCGGUUUUUGCCGCGGGAGAAGGGCGGCGGGCAUGUAGCUCUUCGGAGUGUUAUAGCCUGCCGCCGGCGCCGCGAGCGGGGACCGAGGACUGCGACUUUUGUCUCGGAUGCUGGCACAACGGCGCAACACCGCCCGUCUU
rnacentral:rRNA from 1 species